GGCCGGGACCGGCGCGGCGGAAACCUUCGAACCCCGCCAGGUCCGGAAGGAAGCAACGGUAAGGAGGAGCUUCCGGGUGCCGCCGGGGCUCCUGGUCAGG
rnacentral:SRP_RNA from 1 species